rnacentral:rRNA from 1 species
AACGAACGCUGGCGGCGUGCCUAACACAUGCAAGUCGAGCGCGAAUGGAGCAAUCCUAGUAGAGCGGCGCACGGGUGCGUAACACGUGGGUAAUCUGCCUCAAAGCCUGGAAUAACCUGCCGAAAGGCUGGCUAAUACCAGAUAAGCCUACAGGCUCCUCGGAGCCCGAAGGAAAAGGUGGCCUCUGUAUACAAGCUAUCACUUUGGA